rnacentral:rRNA from 1 species
AUUGAACGCUGGCGGCAGGCCUAACACAUGCAAGUCGAACGAGUGGCGGACGGGUGAGUAAUGUCUGGGAAACUGCCUGAUAGCGGGGGAUAACUACUCGAAAAGGUAGCUAAUACCGCAUACCAUCAGAUGUGCCCUGAUGGGAUUAGCUAGUUGGUGGGGUAACGGCUCACCAGGGAGACGACCCCUAGCUGGUCUGAGAGGAGGACCAGCCACACUGGAACUGAGACACGGUCCAGACUCCGACGGGAGGCAGCAGUGGGGAAUAUUGCACAAUGGGCGCAACCCUGAUGCAGCCAUGCCGCGUGUAUGAAGAAGGCCUUCGGGUUGUAAAGUACUUGCAGCGGGGAGGCGUUACCCGCAGAAGAAGCACCGGCUAACUCCGUGCCAGCAGCCGCGGUAAUUC